GACGAACGCUGGCGGCGUGCUUAACACAUGCAAGUCGAACGGAAAGGCCUCUUUCGGGGGGUACUCGAGUGGCGAACGGGUGAGUAACACGUGAGUAACCUGCCCUUGACUUUGGGAUAACUUCAGGAAACUGGGGCUAAUACCGGAUAGGAGCUCCUGCUGCAUGGUGGGGGUUGGAAAGUUUCGGCGGUUGGGGAUGGACUCGCGGCUUAUCAGCUUGUUGGUGGGGUAGUGGCUUACCAAGGCUUUGACGGGUAGCCGGCCUGAGAGGGUGACCGGCCACAUUGGGACUGAGAUACGGCCCAGACUCCUACGGGAGGCAGCAGUGGGGAAUAUUGCACAAAGGGUGGAAGCCCGAUGCAGCAACGCCGUGUGCGGGAUGACGGCCUUCGGGUUGUAAACCGCUUUCGCUCAUGACGAAGCUUUGUGUGACGGUAGUGGGUAAAGAAGCACCGGCUAACUACGUG
rnacentral:rRNA from 1 species